UACGGAGGGUGCGAGCGUUAAUCGGAAUUACUGGGCGUAAAGCGUGCGUAGGCGGUCGCGUUAGUCAGCCGUGAAAGCCCUGGGCUUAACCUGGGAAUGGCGGUUGAAACGGCUCGACUCGAGUGGGUUAGAGGGCUGUGGAACUCCCGGUGUAGCGGUGAAAUGCGUAGAGAUCGGGAAGAACACCGAUGGCGAAGGCAGCAGCCUGGGGCCACACUGACGCUGAGGCACGAAAGCGUGGGGAGCAAACAGG
rnacentral:rRNA from 1 species